GAUGAACGCUGGCGGCGUGCCUAAUACAUGCAAGUCGAGCGAACGGACGAGAAGCUCGUUUCUCUGAUGUUAGCGGCGGACGGGUGAGUAACACGUGGAUAACCUACCUAUAAGACUGGGAUAACUUCGGGAAACCGGAGCUAAUACCGGAUAAUAUUUUGAACCGCAUGGUUCAAAAGUGAAAGACGGUCUUGCUGUCACUUAUAGAUGGAUCCGCGCUGCAUUAGCUAGUUGGUAAGGUAACGGCUUACCAAGGCAACGAUGCAUAGCCGACCUGAGAGGGUGAUAGGCCACACUGGAACUGGGACGCGGUCCAGACUACUAAGGGAGGCAGCAGUAGGGAAUCUUCCGCAAUAGGCGAAAGCCUGACGGAGCAACGCCGCGUGAGUGAUGAAGGUCUUCGGAUCGUAAAACUCUGUUAUUAGGGAAGAACAUAUGUGUAAGUAACUGUGCACAUCUUGACGGUACCUAAUCAGAAAGCCACGGCUAACUACGUG
rnacentral:rRNA from 1 species